rnacentral:rRNA from 1 species
GAUGAACGCUGGCGGCGUGCCUAAUACAUGCAAGUCGAGCGAACGGACGAGAAGCUUGCUUCUCUGAUGUUAGCGGCGGACGGGUGAGUAACACGUGGAUAACCUACCUAUAAGACUGGGAUAACUUCGGGAAACCGGAGCUAAUACCGGAUAAUAUUUUGAACCGCAUGGUUCAAAAGUAAAAGACGGUCUUGCUGUCACUUAUAGAUGGAUCCGCGCUGCAUUAGCUAGUUGGUAAGGUAACGGCUUACCAAGGCAACGAUGCAUAGCCGACCUGAGAGGAUGAUCGGCCACACUGGAACUGAGACACGGUCCAGACUCCUACGGGAGGCAGCAGUAGGGAAUAUUCCGCAAUGGGCGAAAGCCUGACGGAGCAACGCCGCGUGAGUGAUGAAGGUCUUCGGAUCGUAAAACUCUGUUAUUAGGGAAGAACAUAUGUGUAAGUAACUGUGCACAUCUUGACGGUACCUAAUCAGAUAGCCACGGCUAACUACGUG